rnacentral:misc_RNA from 1 species
AAUUGGCACCAUCUUGUGGUCCAACAUUGAUUACAAUAUACUUUUGUAUCUAUAUGACCUGGUAAACUCCAAUUAAUAUUUUGCCAAAACAUUUCAAUAUGGCAACAUCAACAAUUUUUUUCCAGUGAAAAUAUAUUUUACAAAAGAUAUAUUUAUUAUAUUUCUCUUAAGCAACUUUGACUUUUUUUUGUUUUCUAUUUUACAUUUCAGUUGAUACCUAAAUCUACCAUCAAUUCCCAUUGAUGUAAGACCUAGGUGUCAAUUCACUGUCUGAUGAUGACUCGGAGAAGCUAUAACGGAUACCUAGACUAACUGGCGCAGCAUUUUGCCAAUUGCUGUAACCCGGAUUUGCAAGAUUGCUGGGUUGGUAUUGGUCCCCCAUCUCAAUGUAUCUAUGAUCAGAUGAAU